rnacentral:rRNA from 1 species
CGUAGGGUGCUAGAGUUGUCCGGAUUUACUGGGUGUAAAGGGUGCUCAGGUGGGUUUGUAAGUCAGAGGUGAAAUCCCAAAGCUUAACUUUGGAGCUGCCUUUGAUACUGCAAAUCUUGAGUUUGAGAGAGGGCAAUGGAAUAUCUGGUGUAGCAGUGAAAUGCGUAGAUAUCAGAUAGAACACCAAUGGCGAAGGCAGUUGCCUGGCUCAAAACUGACGCUAAAGCACGAAAGUGUGGGGAGCAAACAGGAUUAGAUACCCUGGUAGUCCACACCCUAAACGAUGAAUACUAGAUGUUGGUCCUUUUUAGGAUCAGUAUCCAAGCUAACGCAUUAAGUAUUCCACCUGGGAAGUACAAUCGCAAGGUUG